AAUAAGUGCAGCCGUGAGUAUCCGUGUUCAACGUUUGAUUGUUCGUCUUAUUCAAAAAAAAAUAUAAUUUUUUAAAAAAUUAGUCACACAUAAAGUACUAUUCAUGUUUUAUCAUUUAAUAACAUAAAAAUACUAAUAAAAAAAUUCAAAUAAGACAAACAGUCAAACGUUGGACAUAAACAGCACAAAACUGUACUUAUU
rnacentral:pre_miRNA from 1 species